rnacentral:piRNA from 1 species
CUCGCUGCGAUCUAUUGAAAG